UACGUAGGGGCCGAGCGUUGUCCGGAGUUAUUGGGCGUAAAGCGCGCGCAGGCGGCCUCGCGCGCCCGACGUGAAAGCCCCCGGCUUAACCGGGGAGAGUCGUUGGGGACGGCGGGGCUUGAGGGCGGGAGAGGUCGGUGGAAUUCCCGGUGUAGUGGUGAAAUGCGUAGGAGAUUUGGAGGAACACCAGUGGCGAAGGCGACUUUCUGGUCGUGUAACUGACACUGAGGCGCGAAAGCGUGGGGAGCAAACAGG
rnacentral:rRNA from 1 species